rnacentral:rRNA from 1 species
GAGUAACGCGUGAGGAACCUGCCUCAAAGAGGGGGACAACAGUUGGAAACGACUGCUAAUACCGCAUAAGCCCACGGGUCGGCAUCGACCUGAGGGAAAAGGAGUGAUCCGCUUUGAGAUGGCCUCGCGUCCGAUUAGCUAGUUGGUGAGGUAAUGGCCCACCAAGGCGACGAUCGGUAGCCGGACUAAGAGGUUGAACGGCCACAUUGGGACUGAGACACGGCCCAGACUCCUACGGGAGGCAGCAGUGGGGAAUAUUGCACAAUGGGGGAAACCCUGAUGCAGCGACGCCGCGUGGAGGAAGAAGGUCUUCGGAUUGUAAACUCCUGUUGUUGAGGAAGAUAAUGACGGUACUCAACAAGGAAGUGACGGCUAACUACGUGCCAGCAGCCGCGGUAAAACGUAGGUCACAAGCGUUGUCCGGAAUUACUGGGUGUAAAGGGAGCGCAGGCGGGAAGACAAGUUGGAAGUGAAAUCUAUGGGCUCAACCCAUAAACUGCUUUCAAAACUGUUUUUCUUGAGUAGUGCAGAGGUAGGCGGAAUUCCCGGUGUAGCGGUGGAAUGCGUAGAUAUCGGGAGGAACACCAGUGGCGAAGGCGGCCUACUGGGCACCAACUGACGCUGAGGCUCGAAAGUGUGGGUAG